GCUGGGCAUGGUGGCGGGUGCCUGUAAUCCCAGCUACUUGGGAGGCUGAGGCAGAAGAAUCACUUGAACCCGGGAGGCGGAGGUUGCAGUGAGCCAAGAUCGUGCUGUUGCACUCCAGCCUGGGUGACAGAGUGAGACUCUGUCUCAA
rnacentral:SRP_RNA from 1 species